CCUACGGGUGGCAGCAGUGAGGAAUAUUGGUCAAUGGACGAGAGUCUGAACCAGCCAAGUAGCGUGAAGGAUGACUGCCCUAUGGGUUGUAAACUUCUUUUAUAAAGGAAUAAAACGAGGCACGUGUGCCCUUUUGCAUGUACUUUAUGAAUAAGGAUCGGCUAACUCCGUGCCAGCAGCCGCGGUAAUACUGAGGAUCCGAGCGUUAUCCGGAUUUAUUGGGUUUAAAGGGAGCGUAGAUGGGUUGUUAAGUCAGUUGUGAAAGUUUGCGGCUCAACCGUAAAAUUGCAAUUGAUACUGGCAGUCUUGAGUACAGUGGAGGUAAGCGGAAUUCGUGGUGUAGCGGUGAAAUGCUUAGAUAUCACGAAGAACCCCGAUUGCGAAGGCAGCUUACUAAACUGUGACUGACAUUGAUGCUCGAAAGUGUGGGUAUCAAACAGGAUUAGAUACCCGAGUAGUC
rnacentral:rRNA from 1 species